rnacentral:rRNA from 1 species
CGUAGGGUGCGAGCGUUAAUCGGAAUUACUGGGCGUAAAGCGUGCGCAGGCGGUUAUAUAAGACAGAUGUGAAAUCCCCGGGCUCAACCUGGGACCUGCAUUUGUGACUGUAUAGCUAGAGUACGGUAGAGGGGGAUGGAAUUCCGCGUGUAGCAGUGAAAUGCGUAGAUAUGCGGAGGAACACCGAUGGCGAAGGCAAUCCCCUGGACCUGUACUGACGCUCAUGCACGAAAGCGUGGGGAGCAAACAGGAUUAGAUACCCUGGUAGUCCACGCCCUAAACAAUGUCAACUGGUUGUUGGGUCUUCACUGACUCAGUAACGAAGCUAACGCGUGAAGUUGACCGCCUGGGGAGUACGGCCGCAAGGUUG